rnacentral:rRNA from 1 species
UACGUAGGGGGCGAGCGUUGUCCGGAUUUAUUGGGCGUAAAGGGCGCGUAGGCGGCCACCGCAAGUCGACUGUGAAAUCUCCGGGCUUAACCCGGAACGGUCAGCCGAUACUGCGGGGCUAGAGUGCAGAAGGGGCAACUGGAAUUCUCGGUGUAGCGGUGAAAUGCGUAGAUAUCGAGAGGAACACCUGCGGCGAAGGCGGGUUGCUGGGCUGACACUGACGCUGAUGCGCGAAAGCUAGGGGAGCGAACGGG